GGAUAUAGCUCAGUUGGUAGAGUGUUUGUGUCCCAUGCACAAGGCCCCGUGUUCAAUCCCCAGCACCA
rnacentral:tRNA from 1 species